rnacentral:rRNA from 1 species
CAAGUGGUGGAGCAUGUGGUUUAAUUCGAUGAUACGCGAGGAACCUUACCUAGGCUAGAAUGCGCGUGACCGCCUCAGAGAUGAGGCUUUCCUUCGGGACGCAAAGCAAGGUGCUGCAUGGCCGUCGUCAGCUCGUGCCGUGAGGUGUUGGGUUAAGUCCCGCAACGAGCGCAACCCCUAUGUUUAGUUGCCAGCGGGUCAUGCCGGGGACUCUAGACAGACUGCCUGCGCAAGCAGUGAGGAAGGCGGGGACGACGUCAGGUCAUCAUGGCCCUUACGCCUAGGGCUACACACGUGCUACAAUGGACGGUACAGCGGGUUGCCAACCAGCGAUGGUGCGCCAAUCCCGAAAAGCCGUUCUCAGUUCGGAUCGGAGUCUGCAACUCGACUCCGUGAAGCUGGAAUCACUAGUAAUCGCGUAUCAGCAAUGACGCGGUGAAUACGUUCCCGGGCCUUGUACACACC